rnacentral:rRNA from 1 species
GACGAACGCUGGCGGCGUGCCUAACACAUGCAAGUCGAACGGGGAAUAGCAAUAUUCCUAGUGGCGAACGGUGAGUAACGCGUAGACAACCUGCCUUCUAGACGGGGACAACGUUCCGAAAGGAGCGCUAAUACCGGAUGAGGUGUCUUGGGUGCAUACCUGAGACAAGAAAGGUGGCCUCUGAAUAUGCUACCGCUAGAAGAUGGGUCUGCGUCUGAUUAGCUAGUUGGCGGGGUAACGGCCCACCAAGGCGACGAUCAGUAGCCGGCCUGAGAGGGCGACCGGCCACACUGGGACUGAGACACGGCCCAGACUCCUACGGGAGGCAGCAGUGGGGAAUAUUGCGCAAUGGGCGAAAGCCUGACGCAGCAACGCCGCGUGAGGGAUGACGGCCUUCGGGUUGUAAACCUCUUUCAGCAGGGACGAAGCGAAAGUGACUGUACCUGCAGAAGAAGCGCCGGCUAACUACGUGCCAGCAGCCGCAGUAAUAC